UGAAGGCGCUGUGGCCAUCAGGAACCCCAAGCUCCUCCUCCUCCAGCCUUCCUCUAGUGCCCCGGUUGGCAGAACCAUCCACGGAGUCGGCUGCCAAGGACGGGUGAUGUUUGCAGAGUCCCAGCCCCAUCCUGGAGCAGUGUACAGAAGGGUGUGUUUGAAGAUUAAAUCUAGGAGCUGAAGAACCGGCCCAGAAGAGAACUUCACACAAAUGGUGUGAAGGUAGAAGGUCACUUGUACACUGGAAGCUUCCUGCGAGUAAAGGCUUGGCUCCAUCUUUCUGUCCGUGUGCCCUUGACACUACUGGGGUUGUCCUAGCUGUCACCUAGCUCCUCGAGCAUGUGAAAUCACGGGAACAUCCGGUAUGGGUGGCAGGGGAGUUUGAUGACGUCUUCUGCUUCUGGGAAGCAUCCAAGGGGAAUGAAUUCCAAAAGAACUUCUGGACUAGAAAGCAUUUACAUACCAAAAAGUUCCAUUUCUGCCUAACGAAGCUGCUGUCCCCAUGGCAUCUUGAACUGAAGACCUCGGAGGCCUUGACCCUUACCUAGCCCAGAGAACUGGAACGCGAGAUUGCCUGGGUUGCAGUUCAGACCCCCCCACACCUGGAAAAGCUUCCUGACCACGAGGUGUCUCUUUCCUCAUCAGUAAAAUAGUGCAAACAGUAGUUUUCAUCAGCCUCCCAGGGUUAUUGGGAGGCUUAAUUCCAUUAAUAUGGGAGAGCACUUUGGCAGCACGUGACAUGUAGUAAGCACUCAUUGCAUAACAACAAUUCUCAUCAUCAUUACUGCCACAUCUCUGUACCUAAUUCCUCACACUAAGGUGAACCUCUGAUGUGGCUUGCCCUGAGAUGCCUCCUAUCUCAGGCAAGGCCUGAGGAGACGCCUCCUUGCAGUGACUAUUUGUUUAUUUAUUGCAGCAGCAGCCCUGUGACUGUAUCUCUGGCUUCCCUUCAGAGCCUACUUAAGCUUGCCGAAGAAAGACACGGAGCCUGAGUCUUUGCCAAAAAAGGGAAACUCAGGUGAUUUAGCCCAGCAGCCAUGGUCCUCGAACUUUGGGUCAGAAUCUUUGCUCUGAUCAUUUACGGGGACAAAUGUCUCUGUAUUUCUAUUCGUUCCCUUCAGCCCUACUUUGACUCCACCUGCACCCACCGGCUACUUAACAUCAUCCCUUUGGGCCAAAUAAUCUCUCCUGGAAACAGGAGGAGAACGUUCCGGUCUUUUCUCGUCGCAAGAACUUCCCAGGACUGUAAUAUCAGAUGCUGCUUUUCAACUGUCAGUUGAUUAAGUAUAUUUUUUUAAAAAUUUUUUAAUGUUUAUUUAUUUUUGUUUUUUAGACAGAGUGCGAACAUGGGAGGGGCAGAGGAGAGAGGGAGACACAGAAUCCAAAGCAGGCUCUAGGCUCCGAGUACAGAGCGUGAUGCAGGGCUCAAACUCACAAACCGCAAGAUCAUGACCUGAGCUGAAGUCGGAUGCCCAACUGACUGAGCCGCCCAGGUGCCCCCGAUGAAGUAUAUUAUUUUUAAAAAGAAAGCUCUAUUGUUUUUUUUUCUAUUAGUGAGAAGACAGAAACUACAAAAAUCUAAGCAUGGCCUUUCAGAGCUGUGAGAGAGAGAUCGUUGGGGAUGAGUUAAGUGUCUUCAGUUUACGGCAAUGAUUUGUGAGGCUAUGAAAAAGAAAGCGGCUAUGAAAUACAUUUUUGCAUAAAGGUUUGAAAUUUAUUAGAAGGUAAAAAUAAUUGAAAAAGCAGAGCUUUCCUCAGUGGGUUAUAAUAAAAAGUUAUUUAUGUGCCAUCAUUGUGCAUGUUUAGGACCUUGAGUCCUUUCCAGAGGCUGUUCUCAAAGAAACAAGAAGGAAGCUAAGCUAUUAAGGCCAUUCCGUUGAAAAAGCAGA